GACUAGGAAGUGAGAGAGAUCAGAAGGCCUUGACAUGGAAACGUAUCCCAGAGACGUGGUGAGACAUUGGAGGGACAGCAAAACAGAAUGAGAAAGAGUCUGGGCAUUAUAUACACUGGAGCCAAGGAUUUUCUAAAGCAGCACAGCACCAUACUGGAAGUUCAUGACCGUGCCAUGAUUAUGAACUAAAAAUCAUAAAUACCCAACUCAUUUGAUUUACAAAACUUCAAGGCAAAAAUGAAGAAAACUGGGUAAAAAGAAUAAGGAUUCAGAUUUUAGUCAUAACCAUGCAAAGGUAAAAUAGGUUAUCUCCAGUACCCGUUGCUGUUUCCAGUUAGAACCAUGCAAAGAUAAUUCCAGAGUGGUGAAAGAGGCCUGUCUGUGAGAAAGCAGAGGACUUUGGGGGCCAGUUCUCCACUAGCAACACGUGCUGAUUUGGGAGAAAAGGGUGGAGCCCAAGUAAUGCCAGAUGCACAAACAGAACAAAGAAGGAGGCUAUGAACUGACCAGCAAAGUAUUCUGUGAGAG